rnacentral:ncRNA from 1 species
CUUCGGGCAGAAGAAAAGAAAGAGUAAGUAAUGUGAGUUUUUACAGAGAAGUCUGCAUUUGCUGAGAGCAGACAAAACAAUAAAAUUACUGAACAUGGUCUUGGAGCAGCGUACCGAGGGGAUUUUAUCCCUUAGGCUACGACGGGAUCGCCCGUAACAGCGAUAGAGUAUCGGCAGAUCAUUUCCUGCGGCAACGCAGUUGCCUGUACUCGACAAAGCUCAUUUUGUGAGGAAUGGGCGAAUUAGGGUGGUAACACGGAAGCUGUAACUUUCGUCCCUGAA